rnacentral:rRNA from 1 species
AAAGGAAUAGACGGGGACCCGCACAAGUAGUGGAGCAUGUUGUUUAAUUCGAUGAUACGCGAGAAACCUUACCGAUGUUUGACAUACCCGUCGCGACUUCUGGAAACAGUUGUCUUCGGUUCGGCCGGACGGGAUACAGAUGCUGCAUGGCUGUCGUCAGCUCGUGUCGUGAGAUGUUGGGUUAAGUCCCGCAACGAGCGCAACCCUCGUCGUCAGUUGCCAUCAUUCAGUUGGGAACUCUGACGAAACUGCCGGUGAUAAGCUGGAGGAAGGUGGGGAUGAGGUCAAGUCAGCAUGGCUCUUACACAUCGGGCUAUAAACGUGCUACAAUGGCGCUUACAAAGGGCAGCGACGUCGCAAGGCGUAGCCAAUCCUCAAAAAGCGUCUCAGUUCGGAUUGUCCUCUGCAACUCGAGGGCAUGAAGUUGGAAUUACUAGUAAUCGUAUAUCAGCAUGAUACGGUGAAUGCGUUCUCGGGUCUUGUACACACCGCCCGU